rnacentral:rRNA from 1 species
UACGUAGGGUGCAAGCGUUGUCCGGAAUUAUUGGGCGUAAAGAGCUCGUAGGCGGUCUGUCGCGUCGGCUGUGAAAACCCGGGGCUCAACCCCGGGCCUGCAAUCGAUACGGGCAGACUAGAGUGCGGUAGGGGAGACUGGAAUUCCUGGUGUAGCGGUGAAAUGCGCAGAUAUCAGGAAGAACACCCGUGGCUAAGGCGGCUCUCUAGUACGGUACUGACGCUGAGACGCGAAAGCGUGGGGAGCGAACAGG